rnacentral:lncRNA from 1 species
AACAACCCCGGCAUAUACGACCGCACGAGCACCCUUACUCAAAGCAAACACAAAUUCCAUUCCGUUGUGCUCCGUCCAGUCGUCGGCCAAUCAACUGGGAUGUUCAGAUCCAUGGACUAAUUUUUAAUUCGAAUUAUAUUGGAGGUUUGAAUACCAAUUAGAAGACUAAAUGUGAACUAAUUAUAAAACUUAUUACAUUAGCCACGGCUAAUUCGUGAGACGAAUCUAUUAAGCCUAAUUAAUUCAUGAUUUGCACAUAUUUAUUGCAUCAUCACAUAGUCAAAUCAUGAACUAAUUAAGUUUAAUAGAUCGCAAUUUAUACAAUUAGUUUUAUAAUUAACUCAUAUUUAAUAUUUCUAAUUAGUAUAUUUAAUGUGACGGGACUAAACUAGCCGUAACCAAACACCCUUCAAUCUCUACUAUUCC